rnacentral:rRNA from 1 species
GUGGGGAAUAUUGGACAAUGGGCGAAAGCCUGAUCCAGCCAUGCCGCGUGUGUGAAGAAGGUCUUCGGAUUGUAAAGCACUUUAAGUUGGGAGGAAGGGCAGUAAGUUAAUACCUUGCUGUUUUGACGUUACCGACAGAAUAAGCACCGGCUAACUUCGUGCCAGCAGCCGCGGUAAUACGAAGGGUGCAAGCGUUAAUCGGAAUUACUGGGCGUAAAGCGCGCGUAGGUGGUUUUGUAAUUUGGAGGUGAAAUCCCCGGGCUCAACCUGGGAACUGCCUCGAAAACUGCAUGACUAGAGUACGGGAGAGGGUAGUGGAAUUUCCUGUGUAGCGGUGAAAUGCGUAGAUAUAGGAAGGAACACCAGUGGCGAAGGCGACUACCUGGACUGAUACUGACACUGAGGUGCGAAAGCGUGGGGAGCAAACAGGAUUAGAUACCCCUGUAGUCC